UCAUUUAAACACCAUCUGCAAAAUACAGAGCUGUGAAAAAGUAUUUCUUCAAUCGUUCCAUAUUUCUCACACUCAGAUGUUCCACAUCAUCAAACCGGACCUUCAGGGGUCUAGUGGAGUCUAGAUACCACAGAACACCUUCAGGGGUCUAGUGGAGUCCAGAUACCACAGAUCACCUUCAGGGGUCUGGUGGAGUCCAGAUACCACAGAUCACCUUCAGGGGUCUAGUGGAGUUCAGAUACCACAGAUCACCUUCAGGGGUCUAGUGGAGUCCAGAUACCAUAGGACACCUUCAGGGGUCUAGUGGAGUCCAGAUACCACAGAACACCUUCAGAGGUCUAGUGGAGUCCAGGCCUCAAUGGGUCAGGAACCAACACAAUAUUAGGCAGGUGGUCAUAAUGUUAUGUAGGGUCAGAUUUAUUUGGUUGUAAUUUUGGCCUUUGCUCAGCUUGAUAGUAAACUUGAGCUCUAAAAACAUCAAGAUGAUUUGAUUUACAUGAUACAGAUUUUGAUAAGUAGCUUCUAGUCUUAAUAAAAGUGCAGCAUCAGCGGGUUGAUUUCAGGUCAGAGUCUUAUUGAAGAUUUCCAAGCAAUAAAAACAAUAAACAUAUAUGAUUGUUUCAUGUGAUUCCCAUCCUAAAACCUGUUCCAGACUCUGAAUUGAUGGGUGUGGAGGAGGUUCAGUAAAUGAAGAAGUGAGUUUUGGGUUGUAUUUUCACUGUCACGUCUUUCAUUCAUGUUGUAGAGGAAGCAAAAGAUGGAUUCAGUUCAAGCAGCAGCGGUUUAAACAGAGAAAAUGUUUCACGUUAAAGAUACAAUCAAAAGUAAAAUCCUGCUUGAUUUGGUCUAAACUCAAUAAAGAAAUGAGGCCCAGCUUUGUCUUGUGAUACAGAGGAAAUAAAAGAGAGCAUGUAUUUGAAUGGUCUGGUUUUACAAUCAGCUUUACAGCCAUAAAUGUGCAGCCAAAGAGACAAAGUCAGUCAGUCAGUCACUUCCUCCACCAGUAAACAGCCUCAACACUCUGCACAUCAACAGGUCGACAACUGAGUCCAACACAUCAUGGAGACCAGUUCCAGAAGUCUGGAAUCCAUCCUGGAGGCAGCAAUGCUCAGAUCAGCAGGUGUUGACAGAAACCCGUACCUGGCUGGAGGAUACCUGAUAGGAAGCUCCCUGCUGGGCCUCCUCAUCAUCAUCGGGGUCUUCUGGUACCAUCGCAGCAAUCUCAGCCUUUUUAAAAGAUCCUGCAUCAUGUCCUUCACCUGCCAGGAAAACCGCCUCACGGGUGUUCAAGUCGUCUACAACUCUCUGAUGCUUCUGCUCAUCAUGGAUGCUGUGAAUCUGAUCGUGGGAAUAAUCUUGGGAGCUGCAAUGAUUCAAUUGUCCUGCGAUGUAAUCAACUGUGUUCAUGUAGAAAUCGCAUGGUUCCUGUCCAGGUGGUUUGGAGUGAUUAUUCAUCUUCUGAAUGCCUCAUUGUCCAUCUAUCAUCUGCAUCAGAGUGCAACCUUGGUUCCCAACGUCUACGCAUCGAUUUUUGUACUGAAUGUCAUUGUGGUUUCACUGUAUCUACAUGACACCACAGUGACCCUAUUCAUUUUGGCUGUUUUAAUGUUUCUGUUUGCUCUGGUUGUCAUUGUAACAUCUAUAGUGUCUACUUCGCCCCCGCCUACUGCCACCUUGAAGAAACUGAUCAUGGUUGUUGCCAUGUGCAACUUCCUGGUUGUCUACGCCCCCACUUUCAUUCUUCAGUGCCUCCUUUUCAGCUCACAUGACUAUGACGAGUUAGUGUAUUAUCAAAUUAUUUAUGCGAAUGUUCUGGUUUUCACAAACCUUCACCUCAUUUUCAAUGGAUUUCUGUGCGCUUUAAUCCUGAAGUUGCCUUCUGGAGAAGAACAGGAAGAACAGCAAGAACAGUGGCAACAACAAUGGCAACAACGACAACAACAGUGGCAACAACAACAGCAACAACAGUGGCAACAACAACAGCAACAACAGUUGGGUUUCCCAAAUCCAGGAUACACUGUGUCUACAAAUGUAAAUCAAUAAUGAGCAAAAUUAUGUGUCUGCACCAUAAUAAUCAAUGUGUAUCCCAACCACUGAUAGAUAAUCCAGGAUUGUUUCACUAUUCAUAAUUAUUCCUGUCUUCAUGGACUCUACCUGUUGGACAGAAGGAUGCAGCUCCUACUUCAUUCAUGUAAACCCUGAAAUCAAACAUUAAAAUCACCGUUUCACCCUCUAUGCCUGAUUUAAAAUCCAGUACAAAGCAAGAAGAAAUAUGUGAAUAUUUUCAUAAUGUGCUGACAGCGGAGAGCUGUAUAAAAUGAAGUUGAUGAACUUUUCAAAAUAAAACAUCUGUUCAAUUUGCUUGAUUGUCCAGUUAGUUAAAGGUGGAGGGUACAUCUAAAAUAUGUUAGAAUUCCUGCAAUGUUCAACUGCUUUGGAUGUAAACACCCUCAAAUUAAAGCUGAAAGUCUGCACUUAAAGCACAUUGUGUUAUUUCAAACCUUGGUCAUUUGGUAGAUUAGUAGCUAAGGGGGCGAUUACUUUUUCACAUCGGGUAAGAUGGGAUGGACAGUUUUUUUUCUCUCAACAAAUAAAACUCAGAUUUAGAUUACAGACUAGACUAAUAUGGAGAGAACUCAUCUGUUUAGUGACAUCAGAAUAAACUAUAUCUAACCUUGACCAGAGAACAGAGUCCUGACACAUCUUCCUCCUACAGCGUCUGCCUGUCGGAAGAUAAUUUGGGAUGACGUCAGCCAACAGCUGCAAGGUAAUACCUAAAUGGUAUGGAUGGAUUUAAAUAGAAUCACAAAUUUUCACUGUUGGAAAACAUCUCUGAAAUAUAGUAAAAUCAUCAUCAUCACCAUUUAAAGUACAAUCUGUCUUUUAAAUAACAGCAUAAUUGUAUUGUUUAACAGAAAUAUUAAAUUUAUCUACAAUAUCUGGCUUUGACUGUAGAGAUUUCCAUAAGAAAUUAAGGAAAAUUCAAAGUAACUCACAUUUGUCUUGUCAGGGUGGAGUUCUAACUGUUAAAUAACAGCUUCAUGCUGUAUUUAAACUAAGUGGAAAUUUUAGCUUUUCAAAGUUUUUUAAUGAGUUUUAUUGUUUGUUUUUGGUCUGUGUUUUGUUUGACUAAAUUAAGACUCUAAAGUGUUUAAAAAUGAUUUAUACUUGUUAUAAAAUGAUUAAUUCUUGUCAUGGGAAUUUUGUGUAAAAAAAAGUUAUUUUUGUGCAUUUUAGGAAUGUGUUCUCUUCACAUGAAAAGCACAGAAAGGAAUAUGUACAGUCAAGCCUGAAAUUAUUCAUACUUCUAGCAAAUUUUGACUUCAAGGUAGUUUUUUUUCAAAAAGCAAGGGGUUUUUUGGUUGAAAUUGACACAGGUAUUUCCCAAAAGAUAAUAAGAUGAUGUACAAGAGGUAUCAUUGUGGAAAAAAUAAUUUCUCAGCUUCUAUUUACAUUUAAAAGUAACUUUAAGUCAAAAUUUGCUAGGGGUAUGAAUAAUUUCAAGCUUGAUUGUAUGUAUUUAUAGGUAAAGAUCAGCAUGAAAACAUUUUAUUUAACUCACAGCAGUAGAGUUGCGCCCCCUGCUGGUGUACAGCAACACCACUAGAACUGCAGUACACUGUAGUACUGGAAGAGGUUGUAAUAAUGAUGUCAAUGUAGUUUACAGGUUUAGUUAUGAUACAUUCACUGGUGAUUAUUGAAUAUUGGAAAGGAUGUGUCAUUUCACUAUAUAUUAUAAUUAUGCCUCUGAACAUGUUACAUUUUAAUCUGAGC
ensembl:lncRNA